rnacentral:rRNA from 1 species
UACGUAGGGGGCAAGCGUUGUCCGGAUUUAUUGGGCGUAAAGAGCGUGUAGGCGGCCUGGAAGGUCAGCUGUGAAAACUCGAGGCUCAACCUCGAGACGUCGGUUGAAACCACCUGGCUAGAGUCCGGAAGAGGAGAGUGGAAUUCCCGGUGUAGCGGUGAAAUGCGCAGAUAUCAGGAGGAACACCAAUGGCGAAGGCAGCUCGCUGGGACGUGACUGACGCUGAGACGCGAAAGCGUGGGGAGCAAACAGG